rnacentral:rRNA from 1 species
CAAGUCGAACGAGAUUUUUUCCUGUAGCAAUACAGGGAAAAGUCUAGUGGCGAACGGGUGCGUAACACGCUGGGCAAUCUGCCUUAAAGUGGGGGAUAGCUCGGCGAAAGCCGAAUUAAUACCGCAUGUGAUCAGAGGGGACAUCCCUUCGAAAUCAAAGUCGGGGCAACCUGACGCUUUUUGAGGAGCCCGCGGCCUAUCAGCUAGUUGGUGAGGUAAUGGCUCACCAAGGCUCUGACGGGUAGCUGGUCUGAGAGGACGACCAGUCACACUGGAACUGAGACACGGUCCAGACACCUACGGGUGGCAGCAGUCGAGAAUUUUUCUCAAUGGGGGAAACCCUGAAGGAGCGACGCCGCGUGGAGGAUGAAGGUCUUCGGGUUGUAAACUCCUGUCAUUUGGGAACAAGUGCCGGUACCUAACUGCUACCGGCUUGAUAGUACCAGAAGAGGAAGGGACGGCUAACUCUGUGCCAGCAGCCGCGGUAAUACAGAGGUCUCAAGCGUUGUUCGGAUUCAUUGGGCGUAAAGGGUGUGUAGGUGGCGCGCUAAGUCGGGUGUGAAAUUUCGGAGCUUAACUCCGAAACUGCAUUUGAUACUGGCGUGCUUGAGGACUGGAGAGGAGACUGGAAUUCAUGGUGUAGCAGUGAAAUGCGUAGAGAUCAUGAGGAAGACCAGUGGCGAAGGCGGGUCUCUGGACAGUUCCUGACACUGAGACACGAAGGCCAGGGGAGCAAACGGGAUUAGAUACCCCGGUAGUCCUGGCAGUAAACGGUGCACGUUUGGUGUGGGAGGAUUCGACCCCUUCUGCGCCGGAGCUAACGCGUUAAACGUGCCGCCUGGGGGAGUACGGUCGCAAGAUUAAAACUCAAAGAAAUUGACGGGGGCCCGCACAAGCGGUGGAGUAUGUGGCUUAAUUCAAUGC